rnacentral:rRNA from 1 species
UACGGAGGGUGCAAGCGUUAUCCGGAUUCACUGGGUUUAAAGGGUGCGUAGGUGGGCUUGUAAGUCAGUGGUGAAAUCUCCGGGCUUAACCCGGAAACUGCCAUUGAUACUAUAGGUCUUGAAUUAUCUGGAGGUCAGCGGAAUAUGUCAUGUAGCGGUGAAAUGCUUAGAUAUGACAUAGAACACCAAUUGCGAAGGCAGCUGGCUACAGGUAUAUUGACACUGAGGCACGAAAGCGUGGGGAGCAAACAGG